rnacentral:rRNA from 1 species
CAUCAUUUAAAGAAAGCGUAAUAGCUCACUGGUCGAGUCGGCCUGCGCGGAAGAUGUAACGGGGCUAAACCAUGCACCGAAGCUGCGGCAGCGACACUAUGUGUUGUUGGGUAGGGGAGCGUUCUGUAAGCCUGUGAAGGUGUACUGUGAGGUAUGCUGGAGGUAUCAGAAGUGCGAAUGCUGACAUAAGUAACGAUAAAGCGGGUGAAAAGCCCGCUCGCCGGAAGACCAAGGGUUCCUGUCCAACGUUAAUCGGGGCAGGGUGAGUCGACCCCUAAGGCGAGGCCGAAAGGCGUAGUCGAUGGGAAACAGGUUAAUAUUCCUGUACUUGGUGUUACUGCGAAGGGGGGACGGAGAAGGCUAUGUUGGCCGGGCGACGGUUGUCCCGGUUUAAGCGUGUAGGCUGGUUUUCCAGGCAAAUCCGGAAAAUCAAGGCUGAGGCGUGAUGACGAGGCACUACGGUGCUGAAGCAACAAAUGCCCUGCUUCCAGGAAAAGCCUCUAAGCAUCAGGUAACAUCAAAUCGUACCCCAAACCGACACAGGUGGUCAGGUAGAGAAUACCAAGGCGCUUGAGAGAACUCGGGUGAAGGAACUAGGCAAAAUGGUGCCGUAACUUCGGGAGAAGGCACGCUGAUAUGUAGGUGAAGUCCCUUGCGGAUGGAGCUGAAAUCAGUCGAAGAUACCAGCUGGCUGCAACUGUUUAUUAAAAACACAGCACUGUGCAAACACGAAAGUGGACGUAUACGGUGUGACGCCUGCCCGGUGCCGGAAGGUUAAUUGAUGGGGUUAGCGGUAACGCGAAGCUCUUGAUCGAAGCCCCGGUAAACGGCGGCCGUAACUAUAACGGUCCUAAGGUAGCGAAAUUCCUUGUCGGGUAAGUUCCGACCUGCACGAAUGGCGUAAUGAUGGCCAGGCUGUCUCCACCCGAGACUCAGUGAAAUUGAACUCGCUGUGAAGAUGCAGUGUACCCGCGGCAAGACGGAAAGACCCCGUGAACCUUUACUAUAGCUUGACACUGAACAUUGAGCCUUGAUGUGUAGGAUAGGUGGGAGGCUUUGAAGUGUGGACGCCAGUCUGCAUGGAGCCGGCCUUGAAAUACCACCCUUUAAUGUUUGAUGUUCUAACGUUGGCCCCUGAUCGGGGUUGCGGACAGUGUCUGGUGGGUAGUUUGACUGGGGCGGUCUCCUCCUAAAGAGUAACGGAGGAGCACGAAGGUUGGCUAAUCCUGGUCGGACAUCAGGAGGUUAGUGCAAUGGCAUAAGCCAGCUUGACUGCGAGCGUGACGGCGCGAGCAGGUGCGAAAGCAGGUCAUAGUGAUCCGGUGGUUCUGAAUGGAAGGGCCAUCGCUCAACGGAUAAAAGGUACUCCGGGGAUAACAGGCUGAUACCGCCCAAGAGUUCAUAUCGACGGCGGUGUUUGGCACCUCGAUGUCGGCUCAUCACAUCCUGGGGCUGAAGUAGGUCCCAAGGGUAUGGCUGUUCGCCAUUUAAAGUGGUACGCGAGCUGGGUUUAGAACGUCGUGAGACAGUUCGGUCCCUAUCUGCCGUGGGCGCUGGAGAACUGAGGGGGGCUGCUCCUAGUACGAGAGGACCGGAGUGGACGCAUCACUGGUGUUCGGGUUGUCAUGCCAAUGGCACUGCCCGGUAGCUAAAUGCGGAAGAGAUAAGUGCUGAAAGCAUCUAAGCACGAAACUUGCCCCGAGAUGAGUUCUCCCUGACUCCUUGAGAGUCCUGAAGGAACGUUGAAGACGACGACGUUGAUAGGCCGGGUGUGUAAGCGCAGCGAUGCGUUGAGCUAACCGGUACUAAUGAACCGUGAGGCUUAACCUU